GCAUACGAAUAUCGCAUGAUAUUUUUAUUAAAGAAUUUCGGUUAUCGAUGGGGAUGCGUUCCAUUAGUUUGUUGGCGGGGUAACGGCCCACCAAGACUACGAUGGAUAGGGGUUCUGAGAGGAAGGUCCCCCACAUUGGAACUGAGACACGGUCCAAACUCCUACGGGAGGCAGCAGUGAGGAAUAUUGGUCAAUGGGCGAGAGCCUGAACCAGCCAAGUAGCGUGAGGGAUGAAGGCUCUAUGGGUCGUAAACUUCUUUUAUAUGGGAAUAAAGUUUUCCACGUGUGGAAUUUUGUAUGUACCAUAUGAAUAAGGAUCGGCUAACUCCGUGCCAGCAGCCGCGGUAAUACGGAGGAUCCGAGCGUUAUCCGGAUUUAUUGGGUUUAAAGGGAGCGUAGGUGGAUUGUUAAGUCAGUUGUGAAAGUUUGCGGCUCAACCGUAAAAUUGCAGUUGAAACUGGCAGUCUUGAGUACAGUAGAGGUGGGCGGAAUUCGUGGUGUAGCGGUGAAAUGCUUAGAUAUCACGAAGAACUCCGAUUGCGAAGGCAGCUCACUAGACUGUCAC
rnacentral:rRNA from 1 species